AAGUCGUAACAAGGUUUCCGUAGGUGAACCUGCGGAAGGAUCAUUAUUGAAAUAGCACGACGGGAAGCUGUUGCUGGCCCUAGUGGCCGUGCACGCUUUCUGUCCUUCAUUUCUCCAUCUAUUUGUGCACCUCUUGCGUAGACCCCUCUGUUAGGACUGCUUUGCAAAAUUGAUUGUGGGCUUUCCUUGUUUCUACGUCGUCAUAUACACCAGUGUAACGAUUUGGAAUGAAUGGAAUUUUGAUGCAAUAUAUAUAAAGCACAACUUUCAGCAACGGAUCUCUUGGCUCUCGCAUCGAUGAAGAACGCAGCGAAAUGCGAUAAGUAGUGUGAAUUGCAGAAUUCAGUGAAUCAUCGAAUCUUUGAACGCAUCUUGCGCUCCUUGGUAUUCCUAGGAGCAUGCCUGUUUGAGUGUCAUAAAUAUCUCAACCGCACCCUAUGGUGGUGUGGCUUGGAUUUGGGGGUGGCAGGCUUAGUCUGCUCCCCUGAAAUACAUUGGCGGUGCCCGACGUGAUGUGAUAAAUUAUCCGCAUCUGUUUAUGAGCUGCCAUGUCGUGUUGGAGUUGAUAAACUUGACCUCAAAUCAGGUAGGACCACCCGCUGAACUUAAGCAUAUCAAUAAGCGGAGGAAAAGAAACUAACAAGGAUUCCCCUAGUAACUGCGAGUGAAGCGGGAAAAGCUCAAAUUUGAAAUCUGGCAGCCCUUUGAACUGUCCGAGUUGUAAUCUAGAGAA
rnacentral:misc_RNA from 1 species